UCUUAUCAAGAGAGGUGGAGGGAUAAGGGCCCUGUGAUACCCAGCAACCAGCUUUUAGUAUUGGUGCUAAAUCCCCCGUUUUUACGGAAGAUGAGG
rnacentral:ncRNA from 1 species